AAGGGUAUAGCUCAAGUGGUAGAGCACGUGCUCAGCACGCACGAGGUCCCGGGUUCAAUUCCCAGCACCUCCU
rfam:Camelus ferus unplaced genomic scaffold scaffold1428, whole genome shotgun sequence.